UUCCACAUCCAUAUGGCGCCGAGAACCAG
rnacentral:sRNA from 1 species